rnacentral:rRNA from 1 species
CAAUAGCGUAUAUUUAAGUUGCUGCAGUUAAAAAGCUCGUAGUUGGAUUUCGGGUGGGAAUGGCCGGUCCGCCGUUUCGGUGUGCACUUGCUACGCCCACCUUGCUGCCGGGGACGUGCUCUUGAGUUCACGCUCGGGACACGGAGUCGGCGAGGUUACUUUGAGGAAAUUAGAGUGUUCAAAGCAGGCCUACGCUCUGAAUACAUUAGCAUGGAAUAACACGAUAGGACUCUGGCCUAUCUUGUUGGUCUGUAGGACCGGAGUAAUGAUUAAGAGGGACAGUCGGGGGCAUUCGUAUUUCAUUGUCAGAGGUGAAAUUCUUGGAUUUAUGAAAGACGAACUACUGCGAAAGCAUUUGCCAAGGAUGUUUUCAUUAA